CGGGCGUUAAGUUGCAGGGUAUAGACCCGAAACCCGGUGAUCUAGCCAUGGGCAGGUUGAAGGUUGGGUAACACUAACUGGAGGACCGAACCGACUAAUGUUGAAAAAUUAGCGGAUGACCUGUGGCUGGGGGUGAAAGGCCAAUCAAACCGGGAGAUAGCUGGUUCUCCCCGAAAGCUAUUUAGGUAGCGCCUCGUGAAUUCAUCUCCGGGGGUAGAGCACUGUUUCGGCUAGGGGGCCAUCCCGGCUUACCAACCCGAUGCAAACUGCGAAUACCGGAGAAUGUUAUCACGGGAGACACACGGCGGGUGCUAACGUCCGUCGUGAAGAGGGAAACAACCCAGACCGCCAGCUAAGGUCCCAAAGUCAUGGUUAAGUGGGAAACGAUGUGGGAAGGCCCAGACAGCCAGGAUGUUGGCUUAGAAGCAGCCAUCAUUUAAAGAAAGCGUAAUAGCUCACUGGUCGAGUCGGCCUGCGCGGAAGAUGUAACGGGGCUAAACCAUGCACCGAAGCUGCGGCAGCGACGCUUAUGCGUUGUUGGGUAGGGGAGCGUUCUGUAAGCCUGUGAAGGUGGCCUGUGAGGGUUGCUGGAGGUAUCAGAAGUGCGAAUGCUGACAUAAGUAACGAUAAAGCGGGUGAAAAGCCCGCUCGCCGGAAGACCAAGGGUUCCUGUCCAACGUUAAUCGGGGCAGGGUGAGUCGACCCCUAAGGCGAGGCCGAAAGGCGUAGUCGAUGGGAAACGGGUUAAUAUUCCCGUACUUGGUGUUACUGCGAAGGGGGGACGGAGAAGGCUAUGUUGGCCGGGCGACGGUUGUCCCGGUUUAAGCGUGUAGGUGUGUGUUCCAGGUAAAUCCGGUU
rnacentral:rRNA from 1 species